ACGGUAAGGCUCCAGCUUGCUGGGGUACACGAGUGGCGAACCGUGGGGAGUAACCACGUGGGUGACCUGCCCUGCACUUCGGGAUAAGCCUGGGAAACUGGGUCUAAUACCGGAUAGGACCGCACCGUGAGUGGUGUGGUGGAAAGUUUUUUCGGUGUGGGAUGGGCCCGCGGCCUAUCAGCUUGUUGGUGGGGUAAUGGCCUACCAAGGCGGCGACGGGUACCGGCCUGAGAGGGUGGACGGCCACAUUGGGACUGAGACACGGCCCAGACUCCUACGGGAGGCAGCAGUGGGGAAUAUUGCACAAUGGGCGGAAGCCUGAUGCAGCGACGCCGCGUGGGGGAUGACGGCCUUCGGGUUGUAAACUCCUUUCACCAUCGACGAAGGGUUUCUGACGGUAGAUGGAGAAGAAGCACCGGCUAACUACGUGCCAGCAGCCGCGGUAAUACGUAGGGUGCGAGCGUUGUCCGGAAUUACUGGGCGUAAAGAGCUCGUAGGUGGUUUGUCGCGUCGUCUGUGAAAUUCCGGGGCUUAACUCCGGGCGUGCAGGCGAUACGGGCAUAACUUGAGUACUGUAGGGGAGACUGGAAUUCCUGGUGUAGCCGGUGAAAUGCGCAGAUAUCAGGAGGAACACCGGUGGCGAAGGCGGGUCUCUGGGCAGUAACUGACGCUGAGGAGCGAAAGCAUGGGGAGCGAACAGGAUUAGAUACCCUGGUAGUCCAUGCCGUAAACGGUGGGCGCUAGGUGUGGGUUUCCUUCCACGGGAUCCGUGCCGUAGCUAACGCAUUAAGCGCCCCGCCUGGGGAGUACGCCGCAAGGCUA
rnacentral:rRNA from 1 species